CUCAAUGGAUUGGAUGAUGCCCACACACGUUGGAGAGGGCCAUGUGCUUUACUCACUCUACCAAUUCAAAUGGAUGGUUCUAGCAAUCCUGAGAGAGAUGACCAAGAAUCUGGAGGUUUGGAAUUGGAAGUCAUCAGACUGGUAGAGCUGACACAGAGCCAACAGCGAGACAUGUCAAUGAAGCCACUAUAGACGAUCCAACCCCAGUGGAACCAGCCCAGAAUAGAAGAAUUGUUCAGCCAACCCAAAGAAUUCUAAGAAAUAAAAAAAAUGUUUGUUGUUUUAAGCCACUACGUUUGGAGGUGGUUUGUUACACAGCAAAUGCUAACUG
rnacentral:lncRNA from 1 species